CCCUUAGAUGUUCUGGGCCGCACGCGCGCUACACUGAUCAGUGCAACAAGCAUCCGUCCUUGGCCGACAGGCCCGGGCAAUCUUUGAACGCUGAUCGUGAUGGGGAUAGACUUUUGCAAUUUUUGGUCUUCAACGAGGAAUUCCUAGUAAACGCAAGUCAUCAACUUGCAUUGAUUACGUCCCUGCCCUUUGUACACACCGCCCGUCGCACCUACCGAUUGAAUGGUCCGGUGAAGCCUCCGGAUUGGCGUGCACCCUCGGGUGCUGCCGAGAAGUUGGCUAAACCUUAACAUUUAGAGGAAGGUGAAGUCGUAACA
rnacentral:rRNA from 1 species